rnacentral:misc_RNA from 1 species
UUUUUUUUUUUUUUUUCCCUUAAGCUCAUAUCAGAAUAGGUUCAAGAAGUAAAAAACAGUUUGUACCAAAGUGGUAUCAGAGCUCGGGAAUGGACCAGAGAGUGGAACAAUUAGAGCAAACUGUCCAGUCACUUUCUGGUGGACAGGAGGGAAUUGCGAAGCGUCUAGAAGAGCUUUUUUCCCAACUGAAUGUGCGAAUGGAUCGGUUAACUUCCCAAUCUUCUCAAGGGAAGGGCAUCGAUUCGGAUACAGCAACUCCAGAAUCCAGGAUACGACCUAACAGUUCCGGGGCUACCUCCUCUUAUACGCCAAAGAUGGUUAAAUUGGACUUCCCACGCUUUGAUGAAAAAGAAGAUGCCACGAGUUGGGUUUGUCGAGCAGAACAGUUCUUCCAAUUUCAUCGAACCCCCGAUGAGGAUAGAGUGGAAAUAGCUUCCUUCCACAUGAUUGGAGACGCCCAAUUGUGGUAUCAAGUGCUGCGAAGGGAAAAUCCUUCUAUUACUUGGGACGAAUUUAAAGAGGGAUUUUACUCACGGUACGGCGCAAAUCAACUAACAGAUUUUUUUGGUGAGUUAGCGAAAUUACAGCAGCAGGGCACUGUGCAAUCGUAUCAGGUUCAGUUUGAAAAACUGCUAGCCAAGGUGGGAGAUCUAUCACAGGCUAGGCAGGUGAGUUGUUUCGUCAGUGGGUUGGCCCCUGCGAUUCGGACAGACGUUCAAGCCAAUCGGCCGAAAUCUUUAUCAGAAGCCAUUGCGCUUGCUCGGCUGUUUGAAGCAAGAAAUUCAGCUACAGGGAAGGGAUUCUCCGCCACUCGCACAACGCAUCAGGCACCACGUCAAAGCCCAACUAAUUCUCCUCAGCCGGCUACUGGUAACAUCAAGAGACUGACUUGGGAUGAGCUCAACGAACGGAAGAGAUUGGGUCUGUGUUUCAAAUGCAAUGAGAAAUUUGGGCCUGGACAUAGGUGUAAAAAGCUUUUUUCUAUUCAAGCUGUUCUUGAAGAUAGCGAUGAUGAUGCUGACAUGGAAAUAGAGGAGCACGAUCCUACAGAAGAGAUACCAGCCAUCUCCUUACACGCGAUUGCUGGUUUUGAAGGACCAGAAACAAUGAGACUUACUGGAACAGUUGAGAAAUUGAAGGGAAUCAUUCUUGUUGAUUCGGGCAGCACUCAUAAUUUUGUGAGUGAAAGUUUCGCAAAAAGAGCCGGGAUUGAGCCGACUAAUGCAAAGAAAUUGAAGGUACAAGUAGCAUCCGGGGAGGAAUUAAUAAGCCCAGGUAAAUGUACACAAACACAAAUACUCAUUCAAGGAAGCACAGUAAUUGUUGAUUUGUACAUUUUACCAGUAGAGGGCUAUGAUCUGGUUUUAGGGACUCAGUGGUUGCGAACACUCGGUCCAAUAAUUUGGGAUUUUUCGAAACUUCUAAUGGCAUUUUUCCAGAAUGGGAAGCAUGUAAUUUUUCAGGGCUCUCAAAUUCCAGAAAACCAGAUUGUGUCGGCUGAACACAUGGAGCAGCUUGUGAAGCUUCUGAAACGGGGAUUCCUAUUGCAAAUUACGGGGAGUACACAAUCUUGUUCACAGGUUCCCGAACUGCAUCCCGAAAUACAAGGUCUGUUGGAAGAAUUUAGAGGAGUUUUGGCCAAACCAAAGGGACUGCCACCACAACGCUGCCAUGACCAUAAAAUUCCACUGAAGACCCCAGAACCGAUUUCGGUAAGACCUUACCGUUACCCCCAUUAUCAAAAAUCCGAGAUUGAAAAGAUUGUGAAGGAGUUACUUACUGCUGGGAUAAUUCGGCCAAGCCAAAGUCCAUAUUCUGCCCCUGUUUUAUUGGUGAAGAAGGCAGAUGGAUCUUGGCGAAUGUGCGUCGAUUAUCGGGAAUUAAACAAAAAUACAGUCAAAGAUAAAUUUCCCAUUCCUAUUGUUGAAGAGCUGCUGGAUGAACUUGAGGGUGCUCAAUUCUUCACCAAAUUGGACCUCAGAUCAGGUUAUUAUCAAGUUCGAGUUAGCCCUCCAGACAUUGGAAAAACAGCUUUCCGAACUCAUCAAGGACAUUACGAGUUUCUAGUAAUGCCCUUCGGCCUCACCAACGCUCCAUCAACGUUUCAGUCUUUGAUGAAUGAGGUAUUCCAAAAAUAUUUGAGGAAAUUUGUCCUUGUGUUCUUUGAUGACAUACUUAUCUACAGUAAAACUUGGAGUGACCAUAUUCAACAUUUAAGAAUUGUAUUUUCAAUUUUGCAAUCUCAUCAAUUAUUUGUAAAAAUUGAAAAGUGUCAGUUCGGCCAAAGGGAAGUUAAGUACCUUGGUCAUGUGAUUUCUAAUGGUGGAGUUACUGUAGAUCCAGCAAAGAUAGAAGCUAUUCAGAAUUGGCCAAAGCCUUCAUCACUGAAAGCUUUGAGGGGAUUUCUGGGGCUGUGUGGUUAUUACAGGAAAUUUAUUCAACAUUUUGGGAAAAUUGCUGGUCCUUUAACCAACAUGUUGAAGAAAGAUGGGUUUCGGUGGUCACCGCUGGCAGAAGAUGCAUUCAAUAAAUUAAAAGUGGUGAUGACUGGUGCUCCAGUUUUG